AACGUAGGUGGCAAGCGUUAUCCGGAAUUACUGGGCGUAAAGGGUGUGCAGGCGGGGGAGUAAGUGGUGUAUGAAAUAUCCCGGCUUAACCGGGAGGGGUUAUGCCAGACUGCUCUUCUAGAGGACGAGAGAGGGGGGUGGAAUUCCGGGUGUAGUGGUGAAAUGCGUAGAGAUCCGGAGGAACCCCAGAGGCGAAGGCGGCCCCCUGGC
rnacentral:rRNA from 1 species